rnacentral:misc_RNA from 1 species
CUUGCCGUCUCAUUGUGCUCGAGCUCACAGCCUCUCCGCACGCCCCAGCCCUUGCUCGGAGGUCCCUGGCGCCGCGCCCCAUCUCAAAUGGCGCUUGGCUGCCCAGCUCCCUGCUUUUCUAGAGCGCCGGCGAUCUCUCGUGGCUCUCCGGUGCCCAGGUCUACUCUUCUUCCUCCAACCGCACCUCCCUUCUCUCUCUCCCUCAAGUUCUCUGCGCGUAUCGAGCUUCUCCGCGAUGGCUGCCAUGGAGUCCACCAGCGGUCGCGCCCAGCUCAUGUUCUCCAUGCCGAGUUUCUUCUUCUACAGCCCGUCGCGACUGCUCCCUUUGCCUGGCCGAGGCUUCCCCUGCUCGGUCCCCUGUCGGCCUGCUCCCUCUUCCUGGCGGCGCUCAGCUUCUCCGCUCCACCAGCCGUGCCCUGCGCGCUUUCCUCUGUCGGCUGAGUCUCGUCGACAUGUAGCAUCUCCCUGCACGCGGCACUUCCUCUGCUCGUCCGUCUCCCCAACCCCGGCGAAUUUUUCCGGGGCGCGUUGUGGUUGCCAGAUCCCCUGGCCGUGUGCCCUGUGCCGAUCGAGUUUUUCCCCAACCGCGCCUGCUGCUGCACCCGGCCUAGCUCCCUCGCCACGGUUCCCAGCUCCCUGGCUUGACUCUGCCCAGUUCGCGUCCUACUCGCCUUUGCGUCGCGCGCGUAGCGUUCCGUUGUUCCUGCGCGUGCUGCCGCGAAACUCCCUGUUCAGUUCCCCUCCGUCACAUUGUCGUGCGCGCGAAACUGCUCGCAGUCGACAUCGAGUCCGUAAUGCGCGCGCUGGACACGGUGAAACGCUGCGUGUGCUUGUGUCCGAGUCCGCUCGGCCGCAACCUCGCUUUGCUCUCUGCGUCGCUGUUCGCCAGGUCAAGCCCCAGGUUGCCGCGUCCCUGUUUCAGUUUGUCGUGCCUCACGUCCAUCUCUAGUCCUGGCCGCGGGGCAGUCCAUGCCAUUGAGUUUGCCCGGCCGUGACCUCGCUUUGCUCCUCGCGUCGUUGCUCGCCGAGUCUUUCCUCAGUCCGCGAUCUCUCCCUGCCCGUCGUUGUGUCGUUCAUCGUCGUGUGUGCAGCAACGUCGCUGAUUCCUCCAUGGUGCCUAUCGAUGAACUUCGCUUCAUCGGUUUAUCGCCUUCGGUUCGGCUCACAUGUGGCCGCCAAACGCCUCGCUCCAGACUUCAAUCGAAGGUCGUCGUUGUUCGUGCAUCCCCAAGAAAUCCCAAGCAUCGGGUGAAGGCGAAGCUAGUCGGGUGAUAUUCACCAAGUGCUCGACAAAAGCUCGAACCAGUCGUCAAUUUUGUGGUUUCAAGUCGGAUGUCAUAAGGGUAAGUUAAUUCAUAUUCUAGUCAAUUAGGUCUAUAAAUAGAUUAAAUAGAAUUGUUGGUCGCAAUAAAUGCUAUUAAUUUAGCAUGCAUAUAUUGUGAUGAUCGAUUUAGAUAAAUAGGUAAAUCAAGUAAUUAAGAUAGACAGUUAAAGAGUUGAUAAAAAGCUAGGAAUAAAAAUAGAUGUUCUAGUGUUAUUAUGUCAAUUUGGUUAAUGGAUGUAGUCGAUGCCCUGCUGUGAUAUUCAUGGUGCUUAAUGCUUGAUUUUAAGUGUUUCAUCCUUUUUACUAUAGAUUAUCUAUAUUAUACUCGUUAUACUCAUGCUCAUACAUGUGCAUCAUGCAUCUCAUGAGGUACGAUAAUUAAUCACGUGAUGCGGAAGAUGACCCAAGUCGACCCCAAGCGCGGGCUACUCCGCAUGGCGAUGCUAAUGGACGAACCUGCCUGAUCAAGUGCCAGGACAAUGAUGAUCGUCAAGUGGACGUCGCCUAACAAACACUAACCUAGUGUUAUUCAGACUAUGUGGCCCAAGAAGACGACAACGACUUCUUCAUUGAAAUGGAGCUGUGAAAUCUGCCUGGUGGAAGCACCCACCGAGUGCCACUUACAACAACAUUUUGCAUGGCAUCCAGUAUUCUUGCUUCAUAAAGUUGCAGAAAACUCAGCACUUAUUCUAGUUUUUGGUAGUUUAUUUGGAGGCGCACUCCUUUGGCACUUUGGGUCCGUCCUUUUUAUUGUCAUGCCAGGAAGCAAUUUAUUUUAUCCUUCCUAUUGCAGUACUCAAAAACUGUGUUGAGUACUCUAUUAAUAUUGUGUGAUAACAAGAACACAUGUUGGUGGUUUGCUCUAU